rnacentral:misc_RNA from 1 species
AAGUCGUAACAAGGUUUCCGUAGGUGAACCUGCGGAAGGAUCAUUAACACUAAUGAAAUCCAAAACCUUUUGGAUCAACCCAACCUUAGCGAACCGAUCGUUUUUUUCCUUGCCCCUUUCUAUUAAACCCAAAAAACCUCUGAUGUAAAGUGUCUGAUUCUUUAUUCUUGUGCCCCAUCAUACGAUGCGGUCAGGAAUCAAAAUCUAACGCAAUACAACUCUUAACAACGGAUAUCUUGGUUCUG